AAUUGCCACCAAUCCGAUUCGAACCGCUUAAGUUGCCCUAAGCAUAUUCAAUAUUUCGGUUAUUUAACACGAAGGGAAUUAGAGAACGAGUUCUUCGAGGGACUUGCAGAUGGAUACUCUGGGCACUCGUCUUUUUAGAUGCAGUACAACUUGUCUGAUAUUCCUGGCUUUACUGAAGACAAAGUUU